rnacentral:lncRNA from 10 species
AUAAGGGAGUAAGUGAACUGUCAGGUAGAGUAGGUGCUUUAGUAAAUAAUUUUUGUGUAGUUGAAAUGAUAAAGUGUUUACAUAUAAGGCCCUUUCCCCUGACAGUGAUGAGCCUCACGGCAGAUGCUGUUGUUUACCACAGAUAAACACUGACUCUUCAGAGUAUGAAGGAGACAGACUAAGGUAGAUGAUGUGUUAAAGGAACUAGGGUGGUGAUUUAGAUUGUUAUUCAUAUUGCCAAAAUGAUGGAGCUUCUCGACUUCAGUUGAUGUUUUGGGCUGGAUCAUUCUCUGUUGAUAGGGUUGAUUGUAGCAGCAUCCCUGGCCUCCACACACUAGAUGGCAACAGCACCAUCUUGGAAUGACAACCAAAAAUGUCUCCAGAUGUUGAGAACCACUGCUUUACCUGUAUGAUAAAAUUAUCUGAAGUCCCAGCAAGCCUUUUUCUCUUCCCAUGCAAAGGCCCAAGCUGGGUUAGUAAUAAGUGAAAAAAGAAAAACCACGCAUCUUCAUAUUCUUCAUUCAACGUAUUUACUGAAUACCUUGUGUGCCAGGCCAGUGGAGACAAAGAUGAUAAUGGUAGUUACUGGGAUAACUCAGUUUGGUGAACACAUGAUGUGGUUUGGUUAUUAGUAGAGUUACAGAAAAGGUAGCAUGGAAACUGAGAUGGCCUCGUGGGUGUUGGAAGGCUUUUCAGCAAGGGGAGGUGAAUGUUAUUAGGUCCAACCUGAAAGGUGCAUAUUUCAGGCAGAUAGAUAGGUGUUUGGCAUCUUAUAACUGCUCACUUUCCUUUUCCUUAGUAAUCUGAAAGUAAUUCACUGUACUGAAUAGUUAAUGGUUCCCUUAAUAGACUCUUGUCCUUGGAAAAAUAAAAUGAAAUGACUGGGGUUCUAUUAGUAACUGAAAAAUUGUCAACAAUUAAAACUCUAAAACCUACUCAUGAGAAAAUAAAGCUCUUUUGUUUAGGAAUAAUAAAAGCCGACUUAAUGACUUCUGAAAGAAGUAAGUGUCCCUGUAAAGGCCAGGUGAAACUGCCAUUCUUUAACCUGUUACUCGGUGUACUUGACUGCGGAAAGAACCCAGAAACAGAACAGGCCAGGCCCAAAGGAUAGAAGUGUAGGUUUCCUCUGGAAGCUUACUGUUCUGCUAAAUGACCUAAAAAUUGCUAGAACACUCCAGAUAAGUCAAUUUCUGCUAUAAAAAUCAUUGCAGAAAGAGAUUAUUUUUAGUUGUCUUUAUUUAAAAAAUGAAACACAUUAGUUACAAAAACC